rnacentral:rRNA from 1 species
AACGGGUGAGUAACACGUGGGCAAUCUGCCCUUCACUCUGGGACAAGCCCUGGAAACGGGGUCUAAUACCGGAUAUCACUCCUGCAGGCAUCUGCGGGGGUCGAAAGCUCCGGCGGUGAAGGAUGAGCCCGCGGCCUAUCAGCUUGUUGGUGAGGUAGUGGCUCACCAAGGCGACGACGGGUAGCCGGCCUGAGAGGGCGACCGGCCACACUGGGACUGAGACACGGCCCAGACUCCUACGGGAGGCAGCAGUGGGGAAUAUUGCACAAUGGGCGAAAGCCUGAUGCAGCGACGCCGCGUGAGGGAUGACGGCCUUCGGGUUGUAAACCUCUUUCAGCAGGGAAGAAGCGAAAGUGACGGUACCUGCAGAAGAAGCGCCGGCUAACUACGUGCCAGCAGCCGCGGUAAUACGUAGGGCGCAAGCGUUGUCCGGAAUUAUUGGGCGUAAAGAGCUCGUAGGCGGCUUGUCACGUCGGGUGUGAAAGCCCGGGGCUUAACCCCGGGUCUGCAUUCGAUACGGGCAGGCUAGAGUGUGGUAGGGGAGAUCGGAAUUCCUGGUGUAGCGGUGAAAUGCGCAGAUAUCAGGAGGAACACCGGUGGCGAAGGCGGAUCUCUGGGCCAUUACUGACGCUGAGGAGCGAAAGCGUGGGGAGCGAACAGGAUUAGAUACCCUGGUAGUCCACGCCGUAAACGGUGGGAACUAGGUGUUGGCGACAUUCCACGUCGU